rnacentral:piRNA from 1 species
UGCCGAGGAAACCCUCAGGGGCAGCUGUG